rnacentral:lncRNA from 1 species
AUUUAGGCUCCAUCCACAUCACCUCGGGCUGCAGCUGGCUCUGUGCUUACAGUCGAUCACUUCCAUGGGUGGCCUCUGCCACAAAACACUACAACACUCUGCUCCUAUCAAUGGCUGACAGAAAAAUCCCAAGAAAGGUAGUAUCUUUUUGUUUUUUUUUUUGAGAUUGAGUCUUGCUGUGUCGCCCAGGCUGGAGUGCAGUGGCGCAAUCUCGGCUCACUGCAACCUCCGUUCAAGUGAUCCACCCGCCUCGGC